ensembl:lncRNA
GGGGGAGAGAGGAGAAGGCAGAGCCGCCGGACGUGCUGGGGGCAGCUGGGGAUGGACCUUGGACGACAGCUGACAGGCAGCUGCAGAGGGAACCCCACCAGGCAUUCCAGAUGGGCAACCUGAGUGAUGCUGGAGAGUGCAUAAGGGCUACAGAGCUGAAUGUUUAUGUGGCAUCAGGGCACGGAGAGAUCAUCCCUGGGAAGUGGCUGGGAACCGUGAUGAGAGAACCACUCAGGCACCACUUGUUGAAGAUCAUACUUUCUACACUGAAUUUCGUUGGUGCCUUUGCCAGAAAAAAAUCAGUCAUGGAUCGAACUCACACUUCCUGCAGUAGAAGACGAAGUCUUAAUCACUGGACUGCCAGGGAAGUCCCUUCUUUUCCCUUUUUGUUUUAGCCAAAAUUACCCUUGACAAAGUUCCAUGCAAAAGGGCAAAGAGUUAAGGAGUUUCUACUUUGAGAAAAGCUUGUAAAAAUAAUACCCUAAAGAUGUUCCCCAAGCUCACAUUGCUGCACACAGACAGCUUUGGAGCAGUGCAUUCUAGCUCUGCACUGGAAGCUCACAUUCCAGGAGCUGCCCUGUGCAAGGAUGAACCGUGGUCCCGUGCCUUAGGAACGACUGCCUACUGUGUCCUCUUUGCAAGACUCAAAUGCAAUCUAUACAUCAAAGAUUCAAACCAGGAAAAGAUGCUCCACAUCAUUGGCUCCUUGUUGUUGUUCAGUCGCUCAUUCGUGUCCUACUUUUUGCGAGCCCAUGGACUGCAGCACGCUAGGCUUCCCUGUGCAUUACUAGCUCCUGGAGCUUGCUCAAACUCAUGUCCAUUGAGCUGGUGAUGGCAUCCAACCAUCUCAUCCUCUGUCACCCGCUUCUCCUCCG